rnacentral:pre_miRNA from 1 species
UGUAUCGAGCCUGAUCCAAAGUUCACUGAAAUCAGUGGGAGUCUUUCUGCUGACUUCAGUGGGCUUUGAAUCAGACCCUCAAUCA